rnacentral:lncRNA from 1 species
AAUAAGCAUUUUCUUGGUUUUCGCACUAUAACUUUAGUUUAAGUAAAUAGAAAUCUAUGAAAUUUUGACACAAGGUUUAUGACCACAAAAGGAAGGUUGGGAUUGAUUUUGGGAGUUCUGGUUCCAACAGUUUAGGAAUUAGGGGCCAAAAAAGGGUCCAAAUAAGCAUUAUUCUUGGUUUUCGCACAAUAACUUUAGUAUAAGUAAAUAGAAAUCAAUGAAAUUUAAACACAAGGUUUAUGACCACAAAAGGAAGGUUGGGAUUGAUUUUGGGAGUUGAGGUCCCAACAGUUUAGGAAUUAGGGGCCAAAAAGGGGCCCAAAUAAGCAUUAUUCUUGGUUUUCACACCAUAACUUUAGUAUAAGUAAAUAGAAAUCUAUGAAAUUUAAACACAAGGUUUAUGACCAUAAAAGGAAGGUUGGGUUUGAUUUUGGGAGUUUUGGUCCCAACAGUUUAGGAAUAAGGGGC